GAUGAACGCUGGCGGCGUGCCUAACACAUGCAAGUCGAGCGAUUCUCUUCGGAGAAGAGCGGCSGACGGGUGAGUAACGCGUGGGUAACCUGCCCUGUACACACGGAUAACAUACCGAAAGGUAUGCUAAUACGAGAUGAUAUAUAAAAGUUGCAUGACUUUUAUAUCAAAGCUUUUGCGGUACAGGAUGGACCCGCGUCUGAUUAGCUAGUUGGUAAGGUAMCGGCUUACCAAGGCGACGAUCAGUAGCCGACCUGAGAGGGUGAUCGGCCACACUGGAACUGAGACACGGUCCAGACUCCUACGGGAGGCAGCAGUGGGGAAUAUUGCACAAUGGGCGAAAGCCUGAUGCAGCAACGCCGCGUGAGUGAUGAAGGCCUUCGGGUCGUAAAGCUYUGUCCUCAAGGAAG
rnacentral:rRNA from 1 species